CUGAUUACAGCACAACAAUAAAACCAUGCCGGCAGCGGCGGGAUACUGAUUACUCUUACGGUGUACAAGAUGAAUUACCCUGGCGAUACAAAAUACUGGUCGUGGCUCGGGGCGCUUGCGUUCUCUGUGCUGGCCUGGACACAGCUUGUCUGGAUGCUGAUCCGCUAAACGAAAUACCCCGGUGCUAAAUACCU
rnacentral:sRNA from 1 species